UAUGAUUAGCUAUUUAUAGCUAGGAUUGUAUAGAGGGUAGUGGCAGUCGCCCCAACUCCGACAUGUGGGUAAAAUCUUUGAUUUUAUUCACAAGUAAGGUGAGAAACAGCAAUUGUGUUGGAAACUUUAAUUUUGUUAAGAAAUUAAGGAACUGU
rnacentral:ncRNA from 1 species